rnacentral:rRNA from 1 species
AUUGAACGCUGGCGGCAGGCCUAACACAUGCAAGUCGAGCGGAUGAAGGGAGCUUGCUCCUGGAUUCAGCGGCGGACGGGUGAGUAAUGCCUAGGAAUCUGCCUGGUAGUGGGGGAUAACGUCCGGAAACGGGCGCUAAUACCGCAUACGUCCUGCGGGAGAAAGUGGGGGGUCUUCGGACCUCACGCUAUCAGAUGAGCCUAGGUCGGAUUAGCUAGUUGGUGGGGUAAAGGCCUACCAAGGCGACGAUUCGUAACUGGUCUGAGAGGAUGAUCAGUCACACUGGAACUGAGACACGGUCCAGACUCCUACGGGAGGCAGCAGUGGGGAAUAUUGGACAAAGGGCGAAAGCCUGAUCCAGCCAUGCCGCGUGUGUGAAGAAGGUCUUCGGAUUGUAAAGCACUUUAAGUUGGGAGGAAGGGCAGUAAGUUAAUACCUUGCUGUUUUGACGUUACCAACAGAAUAAGCACCGGCUAACUUCGUG